GUAGGUAAUCUGCCUUCAGGUGGAGUAUAGCCUCGAGAAAUUGAGGGUAAUCCUCCAUAGGUUUAAGAUACUGGAAUGUACUUAAACCAAAAGCUUCGGCGCCUGAAGAUGAGCCUGCGACCUAUCAGGCUGUUGGUGGGGUAAUGGCCCACCAAACCAUUGACGGGUAGGGGCAGUGAGAGCUGGAGCCCCCAGAUGGGAACUGAGACACGGUCCCAAGCCCUACGGGGUGCAGCAGGCGCGAAACCUCCGCAAUGCACGCAAGUGUGACGGGGGGAUUCCAAGUGUUAUUGCAUUAUAUGUGAUAACUUUUCUGAAAUGUAAAUAGUUUGAGGAAUAAGGGCUGGGUGAGAGGGGUGCCAGCAGCCGCGGUAAUACCCGCAGCUCAAGUGGUCUGGAGUUUUAUUGGGUCUAAAGCGUUCGUAGCUGGGUCUAUAAGUUUUCUGUGAAAUCUAACGGCUUAACCGUUAGGCGUGCAGAGGAUACUGUAGACCUCGAGACUGGGAUGGGUCAAGGGUACUCUCGGGGUAGGGGUGAAACCCAAUAAUCCUGAGGGGACCACCUGUGGCGAAGGCGCUUGGCUAGAACAGGUCUGACAGUGAGGGACGAAAGCUAGGGGAGCGAACGGGAUUAGAUACCCCGGUAGUCCUAGCCGUAAAUGAUGCAUACUAGGUGUUGCAUUCCUUUAGAGGGGAUGCAGUGCCGUAGGGAAGCCGUUAAGUAUGCCACCUGGGAAGUACGGUCGCAAGGCUGAAACUUAAAGGAAUUGACGGGGGAGCACCACAAGGGGUGGAGUCUGCGGUUUAAUUGGAUUCAACGCCGGAAAUCUCACCGGGAGCGACAGUAGGAUGAAGGUCAGGUUGACGAUCUUACUCGACUCACUGAGAGGUGGUGCAUGGCCGUCGUCAGUUCGUGCCGUGAGGUGUUCUGUUAAGUCACACAACGCACGAGACCCACGCUGCCAGUUGCUAGCGCUUUCUCCGGAAGGCGUGCACUCUGGCGGGACCGCUGCUGAUAAAGCAGAGGAAGGAGUGGGCAACGGUAGGUCAGUAUGCCCUGAAUCUCCCGGGCUACACGCGGACUACAAUGACUGGAACAAUGGGCUGCGACACCGAAAGGUGAAGCUAAUCUCCAAAUCCAGCCCAAGUUCGGAUCGAGGAUUGUAACUCAUCCUCGUGAAGCCGGAAUCCCUAGUAAUCGGACGUCACUAUCGUCCGGUGAAUAUGUCCCUGCUCCUUGUACACACCGCCCGUCAAAUCACCUGAGUUGGGUUUGGAUGAGGCCUUAUCUCUUUGGUAAUGUCGAAUCUGGGCUCAGCAAGGGGGGUU
rnacentral:rRNA from 1 species